rnacentral:misc_RNA from 1 species
UCCGGUUUGUCACCGGCAGUCUCGUUAAAGUGCCCAACUUAAUGCUGGCAACUAAAGACAAGGGUUGCGCUCGUUGCGGGACUUAACCCAACAUGUCACCACACGAGCUGACGACAGCCAUGCAGCACCUGUCUCUCUGCUGUAUUGCUACAGAAGCCGUAUCUCUACGGUUGUCAGAGGAUGUCAAACCCAGGUAAGGUUUUUCGCGUUGCUUCGAAUUAAACCACAUGAUCCACCGCUUGUGCGGGCCCCCGUCAAUUCCUUUGAGUUUUAGUCUUGCGACCGUACUUCCCAGGCGGGGUACUUAUUGCGUUAGCUGCGGCUCGGCAGGGGUCAAGACCCACCAAACCUAGUACCCAUCGUUUACAGCGUGGACUAC